rnacentral:rRNA from 1 species
GUGUCAGCAGCCGCGGUAAAACGUAGGAGCCUAGCGUUAUCCGAAUUUACUGGGCGUAAAGCGCGUGCAGGCGGCAAGGAAAGUUGGAUGUGAAAUCUCCCGGCUCAACUGGGAGAGGCCGUUCAAAACUACCUAGCUUGAGGGCGAUAGAGGGAGGUGGAAUUCCCGGUGUAGUGGUGAAAUGCGUAGAUAUCGGGAGGAACACCAGUGGCGAAAGCGGCCUCCUGGAUCGUACCUGACGCUGAGAUGCGAAAGCUAGGGGAGCAAACGGGAUUAGAAACCCCUGUAGUCC